GACGUAGGGCGCGAGCGUUGUCCGGAUUUAUUGGGCGUAAAGAGCUCGUAGGCGGCUUGUCGCGUCGACCGUGAAAACUUGGGGCUCAACCCCAAGCCUGCGGUCGAUACGGGCAGGCUAGAGUUCGGUAGGGGAGACUGGAAUUCCUGGUGUAGCGGUGAAAUGCGCAGAUAUCAGGAGGAACACCGAUGGCGAAGGCAGGUCUCUGGGCCAUAACUGACGCUGAGAAGCGAAAGCAUGGGGAGCGAACAGG
rnacentral:rRNA from 1 species